ensembl:lncRNA
AUUCUACCGUCUUAUGUAUUCCAUUUUCCCCCUCCUACAUCAAGUUAAAAAUACUUCACAUCUUUUUUUUCUUUCUAACCAAAUACAAUGAAUUCUUGGAAUUGGGAGUGGGAUGUGAAUGCAACUCUACCACUUGAAGCAAGAUGCAAAUGGGCCACACGUGUGCAGUUGGUGUGGUGGGGAAGCCGAGCAGAUAAACUUAUAAGCCAUGCUCAAAUAUGCAAGAGGAUGUGUGGAAACAGCAUCGGAAACAUCUUGCUGCUUCCAGCCAUCGGGAAAAGCCAUGAAAGAAAACCGCAACUCUUAUUAUAAUGUGGAAAUCCAUGAAGCACAGGCCUAUGGCAACCUGAGAUUGCUGCUUCCUUUGACAAGAAGUGACAUAAGCAGCGAACAUUUAUUUCACAUGGUUCUGGAGGAUGGGAAGUCCAAGAUCAAGCUGGCAACAGAUUCUGUGUAAGAACCCCUUCCUGGUUUGCAGACUACCAUCUUGUCUUGUGUCCUUGUGUGGCCUUUCCUUGGUAGUUUGUGUUAUGAAGACUUCAUCUUAAUGUUCAAGUGGAUGAAUGCAAAAGUCUUCAUGACCGUAAUGCCAGUGGAGCAGGACAACUGUUAGCCUAAGAAGUAGAAGACUAAAAAUUUCUUGACUUCUGUAACUUCCUAAGCCUGGUGGGAGGCGAGUUCACUGUCUUGAACAAAGGGUGGUUUAUAUCCUUUGCUAGAAGACAAAUGGGGGGAGGAGGAGGGAAUGAGAGAGACUCAGAGUUCAGAUUUUUAUUUCUGGAGAAUAUGAAAUUCUUCUGGUGAAGUAGUUGCCCUGGUCCAUAGGUUAAAUAAACAUCACACAUAUGGGAAGCGUUAGAGAGGACUUACAGAGUCACGGGGC